GAGAGAGAGAGAGAGAGAGAGAGAGAGCGAGCGCUCCGUAUACAUCUCGGAGAACACCUCGGAGGCAGCUUGGAGGACUGAUCACCCGACAAGAACUCCCUGUCACCGACCCAGAUUUAGACGUAAACCAAUGACUGCUGGCCCGUACACCUCUGCAGACCGACCUAACGAAUCCUGUACCUGUUACAACUGUAAUCUAAGUCAGGUUUCGUCCUGCACUGUAACCAUCAGCAGUGGGAAAACAGAAAACCUGGAUACCUGAUAAUGGAUUAUACAGGGACAUGGACACAGGCACAUCACCCCCAGUUGGUUCCAAGUGGGGUAAGAAGACCUCCUGGUGGGCAGGCUGCUCCACAGACAACUUCAGCCCUUCUGAGACACCAAGGAUGAGGCAUGGACCACAGACUGGAAGGACUCUGGGCCUUUGGAACAGACCCACCUAGAAAGAAGCAGUGGUGGAGCAGGCUGGCUACACCAGACCAGUGAUUCUCAGUCAGGAGGCGGAGGAGGAUAAUAGGCAGUUCUUUGUUUCACUUUCUUGACUACAGAAAAGUCGUAGAACUAUUCAUGUGUGGCAGAGAAUGGAUAUACCCCAACAGUGCAGGAGGGGAUUUUGGACAAAAAUUCUUAUUGGAAGUCACUUGGUUCACAUGAUGAAUCCAGAGUAGGCGUUUGCUCAUCUCACUGUACUAGCACUAUAGGAUCCUCUUAAGAGUGCCCUAUGGCACCCCACAGAGCUACAGCACCCUGGUUGGGAACACCCUCCUCCCCCCCAAGAAAUCCCAACACUGUACUAGAAGGUCCCAUUCCCAGUCUAUGGCACUGGGGUGGCAGCAGCAGGGAGAAUGAGGAAAGAGACUCUCAGUUGCACCUUGCUGCCCUGUCCCCUAGUCCCUACCAGAAGAGCUAGUGGGCACUUCUCACCAUGGCCAGAACAUCCCCCACCCCCCAAACUCCCUUCCCCAGCAGAAUCUGCCUUCCUACAAGCUUAAAAGUUAAUACUAAGUCACAGCAAC